UACGGAAGGGGCAAGCGUUGUUCGGAAUCAUUGGGCGUAAAGGGCGCGUAGGCGGUUUUGUUUGUCCGCUGUAAAAGUCCACGGCUCACCCGUGGAGAGUCGGUGGAAACGGCAAGACUUGAGGCUGGGAGGGGUUGGUGGAAUUCCCUGUGUAGCGGUGAAAUGCGUAGAUACGGGGGAGAACACUCGUGGCGAAGGCGGCCAGCUGGCCCAGUCCUGACGCUGAGGCGCGACAGCGUGGGGAGCAAACAGG
rnacentral:rRNA from 1 species